UGGGGAAUUUUGGACAAUGGGCGAAAGCCUGAUCCAGCAAUGCCGCGUGUGUGAAGAAGGCCUUCGGGUUGUAAAGCACCUUUGUCCGGAAAGAAAUCCUUGGCUCUAAUACAGUCGGGGGAUGACGGUAUCGGAAGAAUAAGCACCGGCUAACUACGUGCCAGCAGCCGCGGUAAUACGUAGGGUGCAAGCGUUAAUCGGAAUUACUGGGCGUAAAGCGUGCGCAGGCGGUUUGCUAAGACCGAUGUGAAAUCCCCGGGCUCAACCUGGGAACUGCAUUGGUGACUGGCAGGCUAGAGUAUGGCAGAGGGGGGUAGAAUUCCACGUGUAGCAGUGAAAUGCGUAGAGAUGUGGAGGAAUACCGAUGGCGAAGGCAGCCCCCUGGGCCAAUACUGACGCUCAUGCACGAAAGCGUGGGGAGCAAAACAGGAUUAGAUACCCUGGUAGUCCACGCCCUAAACGAUGUCAACUAGUUGUUGGGGAUUCAUUUCCUUAGUAACGUAGCUAACGCGUGAAGUUGACCGCCUGGGGAGUACGGUCGCAAGAUUAAAACUCAAAAUGAAUUGACGGGGUCAUAGCUGUUUCCU
rnacentral:rRNA from 1 species